CUUUCAUUUUUCUUUUGGUCAAACUAAAAAAAAAGAAAAGAAAAAAGAAGAAAGAAAAAGCCAUUAUAAAGAAUGUUCUUAGUGAACAAGUAAUUGUCCGAACUGUCGAAGUCUAUUGUUCACCACCCCUCUCUUCAUUCCUCACCGCAGCCGGCGUCACUUAAUCAGCAGCAAAUUUUUGAGAGACAGAGAAAAAAUGAAGAAUUUCAUGGGUACAAGAAAAGAAACUGGACCCAAAGUUUCCCGAAAGAAACACCGCAGAUCAAGGAAACCCAAGUUUGAGGUUGGCAAACCAAAGCAAGUUGAUGAUAAGAAGAAAAAGGAUAAGAAAAAGAGGCAGAAACUGAGUACCCGUAUCGCCAAGCUGGGGCUGGAAGAGUUUCCGUUGAUAUUGGCUGAAAUUAGGGAAAGCAAUCGCCAGUUGAAAGAGCGGAUCUCUGAGAUCGACGCAUACAUCCUUGAUAAGGUUGAUACUUGGGAUGUUGAAGAUAAAAUAGGGGUUUUGACCAUUUGAAAUAUCUGGGAUCUUAUUUAUGAAGCAGAUGCAAUUGAAUAAAAGAAGACAAGAACAAACAGCUUUGACAGCUUAGGGUUUCUGUAUUCGUGUGUUUUAUCUACCUAUCAAGAACUGAAUUGGUGUGUUUUGGGAUUUAAAGACAAUUCUGUUUGGUUUUUUUUUUUUUUUUUUAUUUCAUCUGAAUAACUUAAUCUGUUCCACUUUGUGCUAUCAUUUAAUCAUAAUUUCUGAUUCUGGUGAUUCAUCCUUGCUACUUGUUUCAGUGCUAUUCAUUCUUUUUAUUGUUAAUUUGGAUAAGGUUUCUCU